rnacentral:lncRNA from 1 species
AAAAAUGGAAUUUCCCAAGAAAAAGAUCAUCGUAACAAACGGGUAGCAUCUUCCUUUGUUUCAUGUUCUUGUUCUUGCUUUGACUCACUCUCAGAGACACCAAAUUUUCUCUUGCGACACUUGACAUAAGGUAAAACAAUUUUUUUUGAAGCAAGGUAAAACAAUUUAUAAGUUUAGUUUUCAUCUAAAAAUAAACACCUGUUUAAUUUUAUCUAAA